AUGCAGUGAAUGAUCCUAAAUGGAAAGCAGCAAUGUUGGAGGAAAUGUAUGCUCUAGAAAAGAAUAAUACAUGGCAAUUGGUAGAAUGGCCGAAGGGCAAGGAACCAGUCGGAUGCAAAUGGGUUUAUAGCAUUAAGUGUAACCCUGAAGGUAAAAUAGAAAGAUGGAUGUAAAAAAUGCAUUCUUACAUGGAGACCUUCAGGAGGAAAUUUAUAUGCAUAUACCACCAGGUUUCAACACGGUACAAACUGAAGGAAAGGUCUUGAAACUCCGCCGUUCACUGAGAUGAUGAUCAAGGUAUUGAAAGAGUGAAGCAACAUUUGAGGAACGAGUUCGAAGUCAAGGAUCUAGGAGAAAUGAGGUACUUUCUUGGAAUUGAAGUCUCACGAAGCUCAAGAGGUAUCUAUCU